rnacentral:lncRNA from 1 species
GCCUAGAGGGUCUAACCAUUUAUACGUGUAUAUCUAUAUCUACAUACAUAUUUAUAUUUACACACAGUAAUCUGGUUUGUUUUGCAUUCUUUGUGGUUUAAAUGGCCCAUAUGUAGAGAACAUAAAGCAAUAAAUAGCCUAGUUUAAGCUUUGAUUUUACCAAAAUAGCCCUUGAAAAGAUGGUAUCAAGGUCUUUUUAGAUAUUAGUGACUCCCUUGGAUAUUAGUUACUAACUUUGUUUUCUGUGUUUCUAAGAACAGCAUCUCUCUUUUGGGCAAAGGAGACCUAACAAAGUUUUGAUUGAUGUGAU